AACUUGUAACUCUAAGUUCAGGACUACACGUCCUUAUUUUUUGAAUUUGAAACUCUAAAUUAAGGACAACAUAUAAGUUAUAUAAGAACCCAAAUCAAAGUCGAGACUUGGCACCUAAGGCCCGUGGCAUUGGACCGAUUAAAUUCAAUAAGUUCAACUUCAGUUGAACUGUGACUCAGGCUAAGCGCCUUCGACGUUAAACUCAAUGAGUUCGACCUCACUCGAACAAUAAGGCCAAGUGCCUUCUCC
rnacentral:lncRNA from 1 species